rnacentral:tRNA from 1 species
GGAGAGGUGGCAGAGCGGUUGAAUGCGGCGGUCUUGAAAACCGUUGAGGGCUAUGUCCUCCGGGGGUUCGAAUCCCUCCCUCUCCGCCA